GCUGAAAUAGCUCAAUUGGGAGAGUAUUAAACUGAAGAUCCAGAGGGCACUGGUUCAAGCCUGGUUUUUGGCA
rnacentral:tRNA from 1 species